rnacentral:rRNA from 1 species
GCGUUGUCCGGAAUUAUUGGGCGUAAAGGGCUCGUAGGCGGUUUGUCACGUCGGGAGUGAAAACUCAGGGCUCAACCCUGAGCGUGCUUCCGAUACGGGCAGACUAGAGGUAUGCAGGGGAGAACGGAAUUCCUGGUGUAGCGGUGGAAUGCGCAGAUAUCAGGAGGAACACCGGUGGCGAAGGCGGUUCUCUGGGCAUUACCUGACGCUGAGGAGCGAAAGCAUG